rnacentral:rRNA from 1 species
GACGAACGCUGGCGGCGUGCUUAACACAUGCAAGUCGAACGGUGAAGCGAGUGCUUGCACUCGUGGAUCAGUGGCGAACGGGUGAGUAACACGUGAGUAACCUGCCCAUCACUCUGGGAUAAGCACUGGAAACGGUGUCUAAUACUGGAUACGACCAACCCUUGCAUGGGGUGUUGGUGGAAAGAUUUAUCGGUGAUGGAUGGACUCGCGGCCUAUCAGCUUGUUGGCGGGGUAAUGGCCCACCAAGGCGACGACGGGUAGCCGGCCUGAGAGGGUGACCGGCCACACUGGGACUGAGACACGGCCCAGACUCCUACGGGAGGCAGCAGUGGGGAAUAUUGCACAAUGGGCGAAAGCCUGAUGCAGCAACGCCGCGUGAGGGAUGACGGCCUUCGGGUUGUAAACCUCUUUCAGCAGGGAAGAAGCGAAAGUGACGGUACCUGCAGAAGAAGCACCGGCUAACUACGUG